rfam:Triticum aestivum genome assembly, contig: Triticum_aestivum_CS42_TGACv1_scaffold_670753_T_5AL-0.129581_1BS-0.092866
CUACCCCAGGUCAGGCGGGACUACCCGCUGAGUUUAAGCAUAUAAAUAAGCAGAGGAGAAGAAAUUUACAAGGAUUCCCUAGUAACGGCGAGCGAACCAGGAGCAGCCCAGCUUGAGAAUCAGGCGGCUGUGCCAUUCGAAUUGUAGUCUGGAGAGGCGUCCUCAGUGACGGACCGGGCCCAAGUCCCCUGGAAAGGGGCACCUGGGAGGGUGAGAGCCCCGCCCGGCCCGAACCCUGUCGCCCCACGGGGCGCCGUCAACGAGUCCGGUUGUUUGGGAAUGCAGCCCAAAUCGGGCGGUAGACUCCGUCCAAGGCUAAAUACAGGCGAGAGACCGAUAGCGAACAAGUACUGCGAGGGAAAGAUGAAAAUGGCUUUGAAAAGAGAGUCAAAUAGUGCUUGAAAUUGCCGGGAGCGAAGCGGAUGGGGGCCGGCAAUGCGCCCCGGCCGUAUGCAGAACGACUCUUGCUGGUCCGCUGCUAGGCUCGGGGUGUGGACUGUUGUCGGCCGCACCGGCGGCCAAAGCCCAGGGGCCCUAGGUGCCCUCGGUGGCCGUCGUCGGCACGGCCGGUACCCGCACGCCGAAAGGCGUGUCCCUCGGGGCACUGCGCUACAACGGCCUGCGGGCUCCCCAUUCGACCUGUCUUGAAACACGAACCAAGGAGUCUAACAUGCGUGCGAGUCGACGGGUUCUGAAACCUGGGAUGCGCAAGGAAGCUGACGAGCGGGAGGCCCUCACGGGCCGCACUGCUGGCCGAACCUGAUCUUGUGUGAAGGGUUCGAGUUGGAGCAUGCCUGUCGGGACCCGAAAGAUGGUGAACUAUGCCUGAGCGGGGCGAAGCCAGAGGAAACUCUUGUGGAGGCUCGAAGCGAUACUGACGUGCAAAUCAUUUGUCUGACUUGGGUAUAGGGGCGAAAGACUAAUCGAACCAUCUAGUAGCUGGUUCCCUCCGAAGUUUCCCUCAGGAUAGCUGGAUCCCAUUACGAGUUCUAUCAGGUAAAGCCAAUGAUUAGAGGCAUCGGGGACGCAACGUCCUCAACCUAUUCUCAAACUUUAAAAUAGGUAGGAUGGCGUGGCUGCUUCGGUGAGCCGUGCCACGGAAUCGGGUGCUCCAAGUGGGCCAUUUUUGGUAAGCAGAACUGGCGAUGCGGGAUGAACCGGAAGCCGGGUUACGGUGCCCAACUGCACGCUAAGCUACAACCCACAAAGGGUGUUGGUCGAUUAAGACAGCAGGACAGUGGUCAUGGAAGUCGAAAUCCGCUAAGGAGUGUGUAACAACUCACCUGCCGAAUCAACUAGCCCCGAAAAUGGAUGGUGCUGAAGCGCGCGACCCACACCCGGCCAUCUGGGCGAGCGCCAUGCCCUGGUGAGUAGGAGGGCGCGGCCGCGCUGCAAAACCCGGGGCGCGAACCCGGGCGGAGCGGCCAUCAGUGCAGAUCUUGGUGGUAGUAGCAAAUAUUCAAAUGAGAACUUUGAAGGCCGAAGAGGAGAAAGUUUCCAUGUGAAUGGCAAAGACGAUUCAUGUGUAUGCCAUCGUCACAGGCUACACGGACCCGUAACGGGUGGUAUGAGACAAGGGAAAAAAGUUCCCGACGCCCGUCGU